rnacentral:rRNA from 1 species
UACGUAGGGACCAAGCGUUGUUCGGAUUUACUGGGCGUAAAGGGCGCGUAGGCGGCGUGACAAGUCACUUGUGAAAUCUCCGGGCUUAACUCGGAACGGCCAAGUGAUACUGUCGUGCUAGAGUGCAGAAGGGGCAAUCGGAAUUCUUGGUGUAGCGGUGAAAUGCGUAGAUAUCAAGAGGAACACCUGAGGUGAAGACGGGUUGCUGGGCUGACACUGACGCUGAGGCGCGAAAGCGUGGGGAGCAAACAGG